UUCUUUGUAGAAAUUGCGCAAAUGCCACCGGUCUUUCAAUUCCAAAACCCCAUACGCAGCUUUCUCUCUCAUCCCUCUCUGAGACACAACGAAUUCAAAAUCCGAAAGCCACCGCGAUUCUCUCCUUCCCUGUCACCGCCGCUGCUCUCUUCCACUUCGGCCAGGCCCGCUCCCUCGAAAUCGUCCACAUGUUUCCAUCUCUAUGAGUUUGUUUUUUCAGGAGCAAUGGAACUUUCUAAAGGGAAAGGGAAGGCCAUCUGUGUAGCCAAGGGAAAGAAACUAUGCUGGAUGGUGAUUUGGAGAAAACUGACACAGAAUUGGGUUCCACUCAAAAGACAUCAAGGUCACUCAUGUCAUCGUAAGAAGAUUUUUUUGUUAUUACAGCUAGGCUUAGAUAGUGGAUGUGAAGAAGACCGUGAAAUUUCUCUGAAUUAAGAACCCUUCAACCUUCUCCGCUUUUGGCUCAAUCUAGCAAGGGUAAUGUGAUUUGCAAUAUUGGGGAGUAAACUCAUCUUUCAAGAAAAAAAGUCCAAAUUGUUUUUCCCAAUUUUCUAGGCUUUAUGUUCCAGUGAAAACUUUUUUAUUCUAACUGUCGUUUUGUGUUCUAGGAGCAAUGGAACUUUCUAAAGGGAAAGGGAAGGCCAUCUGAGUAGCCAAGGGAAAGAAAUCAAUGUUGGAUGGUGAUUUGGUGAAGACUGAACUGAAUUUGGGUCAUUCCACACACUCUUUACUCAAGGAUUGUAUAAGGAGCUCUAAUGGAAGACUUGGUUUCUACUGCACCUUCAUUUUGUUUUUUCCCCUUCAUGUUGUACCUUCAUUUAGAACAAUUUGAGCUCUUGGAGCAUCGCCGGCUUGCCAUAGUUUGAUGUUGGAUGUUUUCUUCGUAGACGGAGAAAGCGCAGUAGACCGACUCCCUUUAUUCUUUUGGUUCAACUGAUGAAGAAUGGAAAAAUCCUUGCAACUUCAGAAAUUGGCAGUAGUUAUGCAAGACAUCAUACUUUUUCAAUUUGUCUACCAGCUAGAAAAAGAAGAAGAAGGAAGCUGCAUUCAUUAUAACAUUUGCAAAACGGGAGCAGGAGAUAACAGAACUGAAGGGAAAACUGAGAGAGAGAGAGAGA